CUCCGCCAAUCUUUUAGCCAGAGGGCAAAAGAGACAGUGCUGCCCUCCUUGCCAGUAAAUCUCCAGAUUGUGUGGAGAUAGUUGAAGUAUGGGACAGUUUGGAAACUUACAUACAGGAAUCCUGAGAUGCAAACCAAAUUAUUACCGUUUUAAGAACAUACCGUUAAAAGGUGAGAGCACUUGGAUUGCAGUGGUUGAAUUGGUUGCAGUGAUUGGAUUGAUCCCAAACUGGUUUAAGUCAAGUCACUUAUAAAGGUCUCCUCUGCCAAUCUUUUAGCCAGAGGGCUAAAGAGACAGUGCUGCCCUCCUUGCCAGUAAAUCUCCAGAUUGUGUGGAGAUAGUUGAAGUAUGGGACAGUUUGGAAACUUACAUACAGGAAUCCUGAGAUGCAAACCAAAUUGUUACCUUUUAAGAACAUACCAUUUAAAGAGCAUGAUUGGUGAUUGGAUUGAUCCCAAACUGGUUUAAAUCAAGUCACUUAUAAAGGUCUUCUCCGCCAAUCCUUUAGCCAGAGGGCUAAAGAGACAGUGCUGCCCUCCUUGCCAGUAAAUCUCCAGAGUGUGUGAAGAUAGUUGAAGUAUGGGACAGUUUGGAAACUUACAUACAGGAAUCCUGAGAUGCAAACCAAAUUAUUACCGUUUAAGAACAUACCGUUAAAAGAGCACUUGGAUUGCAGUGGUUGAAUUGGUUGCAGUGAUUGGAUUGAUCCCAAACUGGUUUAAGUCAAGUCACUUAUAAAGGUCUCCUCCACCAAUCUUUUAGCCAGAGGGCUAAAGAGACAGUGCUGCCCUCCUUGCCAGUAAAUCUCCAGAUUGUGUGGAGAUAGUUGAAGUAUGGGACAGUUUGGAAACUUACAUACAGGAAUCCUGAGAUGCAAACCAAAUUGUUACCUUUUAAGAACAUACCAUCUAAAGAGCACGAUUGGUGAUGGGAUUGAUCCCAAACUGGUUGAAGUAAAGUCACUUAUGAAGAGAAUGAUUGGUGAUUGGAUUGAUCCCGGACUGGUUUGAGUCAAGUCCAUUUAUAAAGACCUUGUUAGCAGCGUGUGAUGGUCAUCUAAUUCGUAUCUACCCAGGCUGGACCAUAUGAAAUCACUAUCUGUUCUGAGAAAAUUGUGGAUUAAUUGAAGUUUUGUUGAGAGACCAGAAAUAAAAAGUAGAUGCUUAGA